GAUGAACGCUGACAGAAUGCUUAACACAUGCAAGUCGAUGGGGAAGUGGUGCUUGCACCAUGGCAACCAUGGCGGACGGGUGAGUAACGCGUAAGGGACUUACCUGCAGGACUGGGAUAACAGGGGGAAACUCCUGACAAGACCGGAUAAUGUCAUGGAGCUGCAUGGCUUUAUGAUGAAAGGAGACGCCUGCGGAGAGCCUUGCGUCCUAUUAGCUAGUUGGUGAGGUAAUGGCUCACCAAGGCGAAGAUAGGUAGCCGGCCUGAGAGGGUGGACGGCCACAAGGGGACUGAGCUACGGCCCUUACUCCUACGGGAGGCAGCAGUGGGGAAUAUUGGACAAUGGGGGCAACCCUGAUCCAGCAAUUCUGUGUGCACGAAGAAGGUUUUCGGAUUGUAAAGUGCUUUCAGCAGGGAAGAAGUAAGUGACGGUACCUGCAGAAGAAGCGACGGCUAAAUACGU
rnacentral:rRNA from 1 species